rnacentral:tRNA from 1 species
GAUGAGGUGGCCAAGGGGUUAAGGUGGUGGAUUGCUAAUCCAUUGUGCUCUGCACGUAUGGGUUUGAAUCUCAUCCUCGUUG